UACAGAGGGUGGCAAGCGUUAAUCGGAAUUACUGGGCGUAAAGGGCGCGUAGGCGGCCUUCUAAGUCGAACGUGGAAAUCCCCGGGCUCAACCCGGGAACUGCGUCCGAUACUGGAAGCUUGAAUCCGGGAGAGGGAUGCGGAAUUCCCGGGUGUAGCGGUGAAAUGCGCAGAUAUCGGGAAGGAACACCGGUGGCGAAGGCGGUU
rnacentral:rRNA from 1 species